AUGAGAAAUACCAAGUGGAAUGGGAACGAGAAGGACAGUUGGGAUGGUACCAGUAGAGACAGUUGGGGAAAAAGGACCUCAGGAAGGGUCAGUUGGGAUGAAGAGAGCCUCAAAAAGGCAUUUUGGGAGACGAACAGAGGGUCACUUACGGCAAAUCAGGGUGGAAGAAAGAUGCUAUUAAAAAAUAAUUUGGAUGGGGAUAUGUGGAGCAAAGAUAAAGGGCUUAAGGAGGAUUUUUUCUUCUGGAAAAAUGGGCUGAGGAGGGACAGUUUGGAAAUUGCAAUGAGACAGUUGAGUAGUAUAGCUCACAUGGACAUGAACGGGGAACUCAGGGCUGAUAGUCAGGAUAGAGAUAGGGAAUUGGGGAGGCGCAUUUUGGAUAGGAAGGUGCUGUCGAGAAAUAUGUGGAAAAGACAGAUGUGUUCAGGGAAGGACGGUUCAGAAAGGGACUUUGGGCUGGGGAGGGACACUCAGGAAAGGGGGAGGAGACUGAAAAAGGAAAAAUGGGACAAGGACAGAGGAUGGAGUAGGGACACUCUCAAGAGAAGAAGGCUCAAAAGGGACAGUUGGGACAGGGGAAGAGCAGCAAAAGGCAGUUAUGACAAUUACAGAAGAAAGAGGAAAAACAGUUGGGAAAAGAAGGGGUAUCUGGGGAAAGACAAUUGGGAUGGGAAGAUGAGGAAGAACAGUUGGGAUAGAAGGAAGACACUAAGGAAAGAUAACUGGGAUUUGGGAAGGCUUCCCAUGGAUAACUGGGAAAGAGGUAGGAGGCUAAAGAGGGACAACUUCAACACAAUGAGGGGAUUAGAAGACAGUUGGGACAGAAGAAGGAGACCAAAGAGGAAUAGUUUAAACAGGAGGAGGUAUCUGACAAAGGAGACAAUGGAUGAAGCAACAGGGCUAAGGAUGGACCCUCGGGACAGGGGGAGAAGACUGAAGAGGGAUAAUUUAGCUAGGAGGAAGUACCUGUCAAGGGGGAGUUGGGAUGGGGUGACAGGGCUAAGGAAGGACUCUUGGGACAGGGGGAGGAGACCGAAGAGGGAUAAUUUAGACAGGAGGAGGUACCUGUCAAGGGGGAGUUGGGAUGGGGUAACAGGGCUAAGGAAGGACCCUUGGGACAGGGGGAAGAGACUGAAGAGGAAUAAUUCAGACAGGAGGAGGUACCUAUCAAGGGAAGGUUGGGAUGGGGUGACAGGACUAAGGAAGGAUCUGAAAAAGGUAAGACAGAAAAGGAAUGACAUUUUGGGUAAAGGUACAAGAAUGGGGAGAGAGACUUUGGAAAAGGAGAGAGGGCUUGGGAGGGAAAAUUGGGACAAGGGGAGGUAUCUGAGGAAGGAUAACUGGGAAAGUAACAGGAGCCCCGAGGACAACUGGGACACGGGGAGAAUGCUAAAGAGGGACAAUUUGGACGGGAAAGGUUAUAGUGACAGUAACAAUUCAGAAAGGCUGGGUAAAGUGACACAGCUUCGGAGGAACAAAUUGGGCAGGGUGUGGGAGCUGGAAGGGGGCAGCUGGAUCUGUGACUUGAGCCAGAGUACCCAAUCCUGGAAGCCCUGCAAGAGUUAUCUGGACAGACAGUACGGGGAAAGAGACAACUGGGAAAGAAUGAGGAGGAUGCCAAAUGACGUUUGGGACGAGGAUGAAUGGCUGGAGAGGGACCCGGGGCUAAGAAGAGGCAAUUAUGUCCCGGUCGCAGACAGGGAAGGUUGGAAGAUGCUGAAGAUGAGGCAUCAGGUUAGGGCGAGGAAGCUGAAGGAGGACAGUCGGGACAGGGACUCUGGGAGGAACACCGAGGACAAGGGGUCAGACGUGACGAAACCAUCUCCCCAUGGGGGCCUUUCCAGUGGGGCAAACAGGGUGGUGGAGAGGCCUUCGUCUGGGGAGAGCCACAGGGAUCAGGGGGAGCUGUCUGAGCGCAGCCAGGUGGCAACAGAGGAAUGA
rnacentral:lncRNA from 1 species